CAGAAAUGAAGUAAAGGCAUUUGGAAGGAGGAGUGAAGCAGAAUUGUUCCAAUCAUUGGGGAUUCAGCAGUGAACAAAACAGACACAAUUCCUUGGUUUCAAGAUACCUGCAUUCUGAUAAAACGUGUGAGACGAUAAUAACCAAGGUUGUGUCACACCUUUUCCUGAACUUUGGCUCAAUUGAAGAAGGAAACUUUCAGGGGAAUUCCAAUAGUAAACAACAGAACCAGCAGUUUUACAAUAAACUGCAGAGCUCCAUUUCAAAACACAAAAAUAGAGCGUCUCUGCAGUGAUGUACUGCCUUAAGGAAGGAUUCCACCUUUGAAGGAGUCUUACAAAACCAUUGCCUUUAUCUACAUUUAGCAGGUAAAUGCAAUGAUUAAAUAUGAAGAAGAGCAUUGACAAGAUGAAAUGGGCUCAUUCUCAGCAAUGUUAUUUCAAAAAGAAAACCUGAGUGAUUCACGUAUUCAUAUGUCCAUCUGAAAAUGUCCUUCUCUCAACAAACUACUCAGUGAAAACUCAUCUUCAUAUAGUUAAUGCUGGAGUGCUAAUAAACUGUUGCAAAUUUCAAAAAUAGUGUCAUAACUUCCUAUACAGAGUCUAAAGAAAGUGGAGGUGUGAUGUAGUCUAGGGUUAUCAAUAGGGCAGCAUGACUUGAUGGGGCUUAAGACUUCUACACACAGCCAGCAAGCAUUUAAUGAGCAUCCCUGAGGGGCUUAAUGUUCCAUACUAUUACUCAAGGACUUUUUCUUAUUUGCCAAGAUUACUUGGUAAAUCUACAAAGCCAAGUGGCCUAUGGCCAGAGUUCAAAUAGUUUCUUGUCAAUUCUUCCCUCCCUUUCACAGUUGCAAGGCAUGGAAAAGAGGAAAUGGGAUGAGAUGGGAUGGCUUUCGUCCUGGCCUGCUUCAAGCACUGUUUCACCAUAAAAAAGGAACUCUCCACUGCUCCUCUUAAACAGAUAAAAUAUUUUGUGCUUAGAAUUCAAUGACUCAUCCCACUUGGACAUAACUACAUUCUUUCUAGGGCGGAAAUCUCGCAUUCAAGUGCAGCUGGCCAAGUUGAAGAAAGAACUUCAAGGCAGUUCUGGGAAAGAACUUUAAGCCUUAGCCCUGAUUAUGAGAAAGAAGUUUUGCUCUUUGCAAAGGAUUAGGAGCAUAACUGUGCUAGUGAAUAACAAUCUCGGACUUAGCCAAAGAAUGCUUGGGUGGGAUUUUGAUUAUCAUUAUGGUAUUUUUUAAAAUGUAAGCAUCUAAGUCUUCAAAUUCUUUGAUAAAUUUAAUUUUAAUACUUAAUUUUGGGCAAUCAAAGCACAAAGAAGUAGAAACUGGAGUGAAAAUGGGUGGGUUACCAGAUACUUACAAUAAUAAAAGUGUCAUUUUGCCAACUUAUUUUGUAGCUAAAAUUACAAUUUUCAAUGCUAUAUGUAGUUGAAGAUAGCCAUCAUCUGCGAGUGCUUAUUAUAUGCCAGGAACUAAGCUAAGCUCUUAACCUGCAAAAUUUCAUUCAAUCCUUGCAUAGACACUAUGUGAUAGAUGGACUACAAUUGCCACAUUGAAUCAACAUUUGCCUGAGAGACCAAUGGGCAUUUAUUGAACACUAUUUAGGGAUUAAUGUGAAGCGGUGGCAAAGAAGGAAAGGUAUAGCAUUUAGAGGAACACAGUAUUUCAUAGAAUCUUAGUGAGGGAAGGGAUGUUGAAGGACUAAGGCUGAUGCCAACUCCGUUGGGCAAGUAAUCAUCGCUUCUAGCUUUUAUAAAUUAUUAAAAUAUAUUUUGAUUUCAGUUUUUCUGAUCUGUUUAUAUUGUCUCUUAAGUCCUUUAGAAUCACUUCACACUAUGCUCUCAUCCAGGUGAAAAGGAACUCAGAAAGAAUGUAAUUAGCCUCAUUUUCUAGCCUAAAACCUUGUGCAGUGGACCUAGAGGCUCCCAAACACGUGCUAAGGUGUAAGGGCCCAUGGGCUGCAUAUCAGUAGGUAACCAAGGCAUUCUUUUGUGUAUGUGUUGCCCAAAUCCCUUAAGAGCACCUAUACAUCUUGACAAUUUUCAGUACAAAUCCUUUUCAAGUGAAAAAUAAACAAGUAUUUAAUACUUAAAAAUCUUUCUUUCUGUUUCAGACAGAAUUCCAGCUGUCUGCUUCUUCCGUCCCUCCAACAAAAACAAAACAAGGGACUUGCAUCCAUUUACAGUCUACAUAGUUUAAUCUUCGUGCUAUCUUAUAGGAGGAGUUCCUCUUGCUGUAUUUCUGAUAUUGGCAACCUCUUCCAUUGUCUGCAUACUCUCUGGUAUCCCUUAAUGCUAUGCCAUAGUCAUUGCAACUCUGUUAGUUCAAACCUAUAUUAGUUAUUUUUUAAAUUGCUGUUGCUUACUAAUUUUAGGUUCAUUUUCAGUCCUACCCUUUCCCUACCAAUCUACCAUUGCUGCCGCCAUUACCUUUACAAAACACACCACAAGUCUUAUCUGCAUUAAACCUGCUUAAAACUGGUGAUAAGCCCUCACUGUUCCUUAAGGCCUGCAGGAUAAAAUACCAACUCCUCAGUGCUGGGGUUUGGAGCAGAGCUUAAUUACUCACUUUUCUUCUUUUGCACAUUGUGGAUCAAUUCUGAAUUGGACACAUAAGUCAGAUGGGAAUGAAAAUGCAGUGCCUGAUUCACUGCUGAGAAUGCAGCACUGGGGCUGGGGCCAGAGGCAGGCUAAAAUGAGGCCAUGGCAAUCUUCCCCGUGAAUUUACCUAAGUUCAGGAAGAGCUGCUGGGGAGCAGUAUCCCAUUUUCUUUUGGUGCAGGCUUUGGGGUCUGGAGAUUACUUUAGAAGUUGAACAAUCUAUGACAAGCCUGUUUGCAGGGUUUGAGGAGUCUCUAGAAAUAACCUUUAGAAUCUCAGAGGGAGGCCAGACUAUUCGAUAUUUAGAAAUUCAACAGGCUAGUCAAUUAGAACAGGGAUCUACUAUGGCAUGUUCCUUAAAUCCAACCUGGUUUUGGAGUUUCUGUCUCUGAAUAAUGUCUUUACCUUCUUGCCCCUUGGUCCCUGCACUUAGAACCAUGGGCUGGCGUAAUGAGGGGGGCUGUCUCUUUAAAAUGAGCUUGUCUUUUAAGGCGGGGAGUACAUAGCCAGAAGUUUUUGGUAAGGGCCUAGGAAAUUAGGUUUCCCCCAGUGUUCCUGCUUUUCCUGCAAUUCAGUAUUAUCUCCUUUCAAAACAGAAAACUCAUACUUUGUGUCUUCUCAAGGAUUGCUGGAGGAAGAAAUGAUCUCUUUGGUGAGGCUACAUAGGCCCUUCCCUCUGUUGUAGAGGGACAGCUUGGUCUGAAGCUUCUAGGAUAAUAAAGGCUGCAAAAUAUGGUCGGCCCAUUUUAACUUUGUCACAACAUAUCUGGAGAGACACAGAAGUGAAUUUGUUGAGUCCCAGGAACAGCAAGGAAAAACCUUCCCUGCUGCUUUGCUACCACUUAAGAGGCACCACUAACAUCCCAGGUAAAGAGGGGCAGUGUUGACCGCCCAGGGUCCCACCUGUUGUCUGUCUUUCCUUUCAUUUUAAUGCCUGUCAAUUCCAACACCCCACUUCCAGGUACCCAUCUCUGCAUUUGGCAGGAUUGUUUUGGGUGCAAAUGAGAGAAACCCAGCUCAAGCUAGAUUAUGGCUGGAAAUACGGAAGUCUAAGGGGUAUCUCUGGCAUCAGGCUUGGCUGCAUCUAGGGGUUUAAACUGCAUUAUGAAGCCUUUCUCUCUCCAUAUCUUGGCUCUUCCCUCUGGUGGUCUUUAGCUUCAGAAAGUCUCUAUUUUUAUAACUCUUUCUGGUACUAGAGAAAGAAAGACCCUUCUUUUCCCAGAAACUUUAUAUCAAAUAUGAUGAAGAAGGUCUGAUUGGUGCUCAGUUUGGGGCUAAUCUCCCUGAUCAAUUGCAGUGGCCAGAGGGAUGAGCUCUUCUGAACAGCCAGGUCUGGGUCAUAUGUCUUGUGCCUAUCUACCUCUGGGAACCAGAGGCAAAGGUAGAAGGAGGUUGGGCUUUUCUGAAGGAAGACAGUGGAACAGACAAGAAACAUAUGUUCACUAUACAGACUCUAUCACACUGUACUGUAAUUAUGUGUUUAUGUGCCUGAUUUAGUUUCCACAUCAGACUCAGAGCUGCUACAUGGUGAAGAUCACAAUUUGUCAGUCUCAGAAAGUCAGAUGGACACGGCUAAGUCUGGAUUUCGCUCCCUUCAUAAAGGAAAAAAAGAGAAUUUCCCAAGCACUGCAGCCAUGUGGCCAUGUGGCAUCUCCCCUAACCACCAGAGCCAGCCGGGUCAACACCCUUUUCGUCACACUGAGAAAGGAUGCUGGCAC
rnacentral:lncRNA from 1 species